GACGAACGCUGGCGGCGUGCUUAACACAUGCAGGUCGAACGGAAAGGCCCUGCUUUUGUGGGGUGCUCGAGUGGCGAACGGGUGAGUAACACGUGAGUAACCUGCCCUUGACUUUGGGAUAACUUCAGGAAACUGGGGCUAAUACCGGAUAGGAGCUCCUGCUGCAUGGUGGGGGUUGGAAAGUUUCGGCGGUUGGGGAUGGACUCGCGGCUUAUCAGCUUGUUGGUGGGGUAGUGGCUUACCAAGGCUUUGACGGGUAGCCGGCCUGAGAGGGUGGCCGGCCACAUUGGGACUGAGAUACGGCCCAGACUCCUACGGGAGGCAGCAGUGGGGAAUAUUGCACAAUGGGCGGAAGCCUGAUGCAGCAACGCCGCGUGCGGGAUGACGGCCUUCGGGUUGUAAACCGCUUUCGCCUGUGACGAAGCGUGAGUGACGGUAAUGGGUAAAGAAGCACCGGCUAACUACGUG
rnacentral:rRNA from 1 species